GAUGAACGCUGGCGGCGUGCCUAAUACAUGCAAGUCGAGCGAACAGACGAGGAGCUUGCUCCUCUGACGUUAGCGGCGGACGGGUGAGUAACACGUGGAUAACCUACCUAUAAGACUGGGAUAACUUCGGGAAACCGGAGCUAAUACCGGAUAAUAUAUUGAACCGCAUGGUUCAAUAGUGAAAGACGGUUUUGCUGUCACUUAUAGAUGGAUCCGCGCCGCAUUAGCUAGUUGGUAAGGUAACGGCUUACCAAGGCAAUGAUGCGUAGCCGACCUGAGAGGGUGAUCGGCCACACUGGAACUGAGACACGGUCCAGACUCCUACGGGAGGCAGCAGUAGGGAAUCUUCCGCAAUGGGCGAAAGCCUGACGGAGCAACGCCGCGUGAGUGAUGAGGGUCUUCGGAUCGUAAAACUCUGUUAUUAGGGAAGAACAAAUGUGUAAGUAACUAUGCACGUCUUGACGGUACCUAAUCAGAAAGCCACGGCUAACUACGUG
rnacentral:rRNA from 1 species